AGGGUAUGCAAAAUAGGUCACUAACAAGGCCUCUAAAAUAUAAUAGGUUCAGAAUAGACACUUAAUUAUAUGAAUGAGGAAAGCAAUGAAAUACUUUGUAAUAGGCAAAAUGUAAUGAACAAUAUGUGCGUUAUGCCUUAGCUUAUACUUUACUAAAUGUACCUACUCGAUGCCCGACUUUACAUGCAAAAUCAAUUUUUUUUAAUCAUGAAUCCCGAAAGAUAUUUUACAAAUAUCGCCUUCGAAUCUCCGACUAACACCUGCAAAUAAAAUUUAUUUUACAAAUUUACCCUUAAAUAAAAAUAAAAAAAUUUACCCCCAAAACACAAUUUACCUCCCAAAACCCUCACUCCCUCUUCUCCCUCUUAAAAACAAUUCUCUCUCUACACCAACACCACCACCACAUACUUUUACCACCCACCACUACCACCACCUCCUCUUAACCACCCACCACCAACUCCUCUUUUAACCACCUACCACCACGUCCUUUUACCACCCACCACCACGUCCCACCCACCAUCACGUCCCGCCCACCACCACUACCACCACCACGCCCCACCCACCACCACGUCUCAAUCUACAAAGUAAGUUGCGAAAAUGACGAGGAAGGACAAGAGAAAGGUCGUCGUUGAAGGAGUCGCCAGAGACAAGAAUGUAGUUGAGGGUUCUGGUCCACAACAUGCUAGAUCACGCGGUAUUAAUGCGUCAAUUAGGAGAGAUAGGGGGAUUAGUAUACGGGAAGAUAGUUCGGAGCGCGAUAGGGUAGUGGAUGAUUAUGGGACUCCGGGUUCGGGUUCGAGUUCGAGGUACGAGGAUGAUGGACCUGAGGAUGAUGUAGAUGAGGGUGAGGCUAAUGUUAAGGAGCAGCCGCCUGUCGUGACGAGAGGUCCUGAUGGGAGAUUUACGAGUUCCCGACUACCACGAUCUGCAGCGACUUGGCUUGUUCAGGGGCCGAUGGACGGUGGGCCCGAGGAUGGGAGCGUUAUUCCUAGUUUCGAGGCCCAUGUUGCUCGGUAUAUUUGGGAUGGGGAAGAUCGACGGUUUUUGCGUUGUCAUACUAGAGCUGGUGUGUGUAGAGACUUGACUGACUGGUUAGAGCGAUUUAUGGCUGCCACUACUACGCGGAUACGACAGACUGGGUUGUCGCACCUGCCUAGCAUUAUGCACGAACACAUUCCACCUACCUUUUGGUGAGAGGACCAUCAUAUUGCACGACGUACACCACAUACUUGGUAUUCGGGUUAAUGGGGAUAUGGUUGUUGGUGUCCUAGUGACCAGUAUAGGAAAUUGGUAGGUGGGUUGUUACUGUUGACUCAAGAGAAGCAACAGGUCAAGACUCAGAAUGCCAUCUACAGGAACGGUGGCGUCCAUACUGACCAGAUUAUUUCUAGGUGUCGUAGUGAGGAGCAGCUGGAGGCGGUUCAAGCCAUUGGUUACAUUUGGGUCCUAUUGGGUAACACGCUCUUUACUGAACAGAACGGUACCCGUACUCACCCUUCUUUUCUUAGUGACUUGUGUAUCGAGAAUAACCUGAAGAGGUUGACGAGAUACUCCUGGGGUUCAGCCACACUAGCGUACUUGUAUCGUCAGCUCGGGCAUGCCACCCAAAAUGGAUGUGAUUCUAUCGCGGGUUGUCUGACUCUUCUACAGGCUUAGAUAUACGAGUACUUUCCAUGUUUUUGGCCUCACCAGGGUGUGUUGACACGGGACAUCCCUCAUGCUCGUGCUGGGUUAUGAGAUGUUGGUAUGAUGCGGAAGCAUCAACAGCGUCUCGUGUCCUUUCAUACUCGACUUGACCACCUGGCUAACUAUAAGGUAUGUUGGUUGCCAUACGGUGCUUUUCCCGCACAACAGGUGCCUAGGACUAUGUUUACUGGAUGUAUUCGCUAUCGAGGCAUCAUAGAACCAUAUAUGCCCGAUCGAGUUGUUCAACAGUUGGAGUUUAUACAGGAGAUUCCCGGUGACAUGAUUAAGCCUGAUGAUGCUCAUAGACCACUUAGUGUGAAGUCUUAUAGGGUCAGUUUUCAGCUCUGAUGACCACUCUCAUGUGGGAUAGAUUUGUCCCCGGUGCUGUGUUCAGUAUUCUGCUUGGUGGAUAUACUAGAGUUCCACGUGGAGGACAUACUUUUGCCCCUAACUACCUACCAUGGUUUGGGAGAGUUAGCAAUCCUAUCGUCACUCCUAAUGUUGAGGAUGAUGUCAGUCUUCCUGAGAGGACCAACGUUGAUUACUGGGUAGGGCGAUUCAUGGUUACAGCGCAGCGAUCACAUAGUGAGUACCCUACGCUAUCAAGGGACACCAAAGUAAUGUUGGAGCAGGUGAUUGAUGAUUGGAAUACAAUAAAUGGACUUAGAGAUUAGUUGUAAUAUGUAUUCUAGCUUUGCCUUUGUUGUUUUAUUAGACUAUGUUUUGGAUGUUGUUAGUGGACAUUUAUGUUUUAUCACUUUUGUUGAGAAUUAUCAAGUUGACAUUUAUAUAUUAUUAUUUUAUUUUCUAAUUAUGUAGUACUUACUUAGUAAAUUUUAAAAGAAAUCAUGUUUAUUAAUAAAGUUAUAUAAAAUUUAAUAAAAAUCCAUAACAGCACUCAACAGUACUCAAGAGCUAACUAAUGUCUGCCACAAUUGAAGCCUUCUCUCGUACCUUGCCUCCCAUCCGUGUACACUUGCCUGUCGAGCGUUAAACCACAUUGGUGAAAUUGGAGGAAGUGGGUGGUCUUGAUCCAUAUGCAAACGAAUGAAAUGCGAUCCACCAACAGUUCCAAUCACGAACUCUGCACUAGGCCUGUCUAAGCGUCCACGAUUGUUCAACGGUAAAACAGUGGUAGAUGGAUAGUAGC